AUGUUUCGAAGCUUGCACAUUGCUACUUGGGGAGGGCUAAAUUUAGUCCACGCUUGGUGGGAGGCGACGGUUCUUCACCAUGGCCACACGAGGAAGGCGAUCUCCUCGCUGCUCGUGUCAGUAGCUUGGGAGGUGUGGAAAGAGAGAAACGACAGGGUCUUCAGCAACAAGGCAUCAAUGCCCUCCAUUGUUAUUGAUAACAUCAAAGUGGAGGCCAAAUAUUGGGUUCUUACUGGGGCCAAGCAUUUGAGCACAAUCAUGCCGUGAGAGUAG
rnacentral:rRNA from 1 species